ACACAGAGUGGCCAACUUUAAGGUACAAGGUUUGAUCUCUGAACACCUCCCACUCCAGAGGUUUAAUAAACUUUAUUAUGCUCAGAAGAAGUGUAUAAUGCUUCAUUUACUUUCCAUAAUGCAGGCAAGCACGAUAAGUCACAACGCUAACCUAGACAGAAAAACUCUUCACGGCUGGAGCCCCAUCGUUUAAAUUACGAGCUUCAACCAUGGCACACCUUGUAAAAUUACCUAUAAUGUUUCCGUUCUUUUCUUCAGGUAUGCUUGUGAUUUGCUUUUUGUUUUGGUUAUCUAAAACCAGAAGCAGAAAUUGUGGUAUUUAUAGUGCUAGAUAGUUCACGAAGUUGACAAUCCACAUGAUGUGAAUGAAAUUCUCUUAUAAACCUGUCUGCCUUUGUGAUAUUCUGCUGUGUCUGUUCUACUAGGGUCGCUUUACUACCGAUAUCACCUACUAGUUACUGAUAUUUGUGGUCAAUAAGGUGCCGCAGCACUAGCUCGUAUUCUCGUCCAGUGGUCAGAUUACCGGGACAGAACUGAAAAUUUAUCAUUAGCACGUCGACGAGCCUU
rnacentral:lncRNA from 1 species